GCGCCCGUAGCUCAACUGGAUAGAGCGUCUGGCUACGAACCAGGAGGUUUUGGGUUCGAAUCCCUACGGGCGCA
rnacentral:tRNA from 1 species